GUGUCAGCAGCCGCGGUAAUACAGAGGUCCCGAGCGUUGUUCGGAUUCACUGGGCGUAAAGGGUGCGUAGGUGGUGGGGUAAGUCGGAUGUGAAAGCUCGGAGCUUAACUCCGAAAUGGCAUUGGAAACUGCCCUGCUAGAGGGUCGGAGGGGGGACUGGAAUUCUCGGUGUAGCAGUGAAAUGCGUAGAUAUCGAGAGGAACACCCGUGGCGAAGGCGAGUCCCUGGACGACACCUGACACUGAGGCACGAAAGCUAGGGGAGCAAACAGGAUUAGAAACCCCCGUAGUCC
rnacentral:rRNA from 1 species